rnacentral:rRNA from 1 species
UAGGGAAUCUUCCACAAUGGACGCAAGUCUGAUGGAGCAACGCCGCGUGAGUGAAGAAGGUUUUCGGAUCGUAAAGCUCUGUUGUUGGUGAAGAAGGAUAGAGGCAGUAACUGGUCUUUAUUUGACGGUAAUCAACCAGAAAGUCACGGCUAACUACGUGCCAGCAGCCGCGGUAAUACGUAGGUGGCAAGCGUUGUCCGGAUUUAUUGGGCGUAAAGCGAGCGCAGGCGGAAUGAUAAGUCUGAUGUGAAAGCCCACGGCUCAACCGUGGAACUGCAUCGGAAACUGUCAUUCUUGAGUGCAGAAGAAGGGAGUGGAAUUCCAUGUGUAGCGGUGGAAUGCGUAGAUAUAUGGAAGAACACCAGUGGCGGAGGCGGCUCUCUGGUCUGCAACUGACGCUGAGGCUCGAAAGCAUGGGUAGCGAACAGG